rnacentral:rRNA from 1 species
UACGAGGGGGGCGAGCGUUGUUCGGAAUUAUUGGGCGUAAAGGGCGCGUAGGCGGUCGGAUAAGUCUUGUGUGAAAUCUUCGGGCUCAACUCGAAGUCUGCACAGGAAACUAUCUGGCUUGAGUGUGGGAGAGGUGAGUGGAAUUCCUGGUGUAGCGGUGAAAUGCGUAGAUAUCGGGAGGAACACCGGUGGCGAAGGCGGUUCUCUGGGCCUUACCUGACGCUGAGGAGCGAAAGCGUGGGGAGCGAACAGG